rnacentral:rRNA from 1 species
CCUACGGGAGACAGCAGUGGGGAAUAUUGCACAAUGGGCAAAAGCCUGAUGCAGCAACGCCGCGUGAAGGAAGAAGGGUUUCGGCUCGUAAACUUCUAUUCACAGGGAAGAAAGAAAUGACGGUACCUGAAUAAGAAGCACAGGCGAAUUACGUGCAAGCAGCAGCGGCAAUACGUCGGGGGCAAGAGUUAUCCGGAUUUACUGGGUGUAAAGGGAGCGUAGACGGCAGCGCAAGUAUGGAGUGAAAUCCCAUGGCUUAACAAUGGAACUGCAUUGGAAACUGUGCAGAUAGAGUGCAGGAGAGGUAAGCGGAAUUCCGAGUGUAGCGGUGAAAUGCGUAGAUAUUAGGAGGAACACCAGUGGCGAAGGCGGGUUACUGGACUUUAACUGACGCUGAGGCACGAAGGCGUGGGGAGCAAACGGGAUUAGAUACCCUGGUAGUC